AUCCAUCAUAGGUUUUAUCCCCCUUAGGUAUCUAAAGGGUUUAGUUCAUAAUAAAAUAAGAGUACAUCUCAAAAGUAUGAAAAUAACAAAACAUAAAGAAAACUCUAAAACCCCUGAAAGAAUUCUGAGAGAGAUCUUCAGUCUUGGAGUAGCUCCGGCUUUUGAGAUGGAUCGUCUGGCUUCCUUCAAGUAAUUCCCGGCGUGUGGUUUUGUGUUCCAGAAAAGUUCUGGAGAGCGAGGCCCCUUUCUAGGUCAUACUUAGGGUGUUUUUAUAGGCUUUUGGUUGGCUUUCUUUCCCCAUAAGUAUCCUUUUUCCGUGUAAAAUACAACUCCUUGAAAAAGGGACACGCCCAUGUGCCACGGCCGUGUGACGUGGUUUUCAGGCCGUGUUCGAUCCAUUAAAUUGCCACGGCCAUGUGGGCUCAAUGGCCAGGCCGUGCGAGUCGUGUAAACCUUGGUCGACACCCUCGAAAGGCACAGGUGUGUGAGCUGCCCGUGUGGCAAGGCUUAGGCCGUGUGGUCUUCUCGAUUUGGUCUGUU
rnacentral:lncRNA from 1 species